rnacentral:rRNA from 1 species
CCUACGGGUGGCAGCAGUGGGGAAUAUUGGACAAUGGGGGGAACCCUGAUCCAGCGACGCCGCGUGAGUGAAGAAGUAUUUCGGUAUGGAAAGCUCUAUCAGCAGGGAAGAAAAUGACGGUACCUGACUAAGAAGCCGCGGCCAACUACGUGCCAGCAGCCGCGGUAAUACGUCGGGGGCAAGCGUUAUACGGAUUUACUGGGUGUAAAGGGGGCGUAGAGGGUGCAGCAAGUCUGACGUGAAAGGUCGGGGCCCCACCCCGGGACUGCAUUUGAAACUGUAUAACUGGAGUACAGGAGAGGUAAGCGGAAUUCCUAGUGUAGCGGUGAAAUGCGUAGAUAUUACGAGGAACACCAGUGGCGAAGGCAGCUUACUGGCCUGUAACUGACGUUGAGGCUCGAAAGCGUGGGGAUCAAACAGGAUUAGAUACCCUUGUAGUC